CGUGAAAAUUGGCGUUACGGUUCCAGGGAAAGCGGUGCGAAUCCGCUGCGGACCCGCCACUGUGAGAGAGGACGAAAGCCGCACAAGCCACUGUUUUUAGACGCCCUUCACGGCAAGUUUGGAGGCGUCUCAUGAGAAAAGCGCAGCUAUGCGCCGGGUUAUUUCCCGCUCAUGGAUAAAAGAUGGGAAGGCGCGGCCGGUAGAAUGAUUCUCGAGCCAGGAGACCUGCCGUAACUUUUUCCGGAUU
rnacentral:ncRNA from 2 species